AGAAAUAAUCUAAUAUUGACUUCUAAUCAAUUUAUUAAAGUGCCUAAUUUACACUUUUACUUCUU
rnacentral:tRNA from 1 species